ACCAGACUCCUACGGGAGGCAGCAGUGGGGGAUAUUGCACAAUGGGGGGAACCCUGAUGCAGCGACGCCGCGUGGGUGAAGAAGCGCCUCGGCGCGUAAAGCCCUAUCGGCAGGGAAGAAGGAGGACGGUACCUGACUAAGAAGCCCCGGCUAACUACGUGCCAGCAGCCGCGGUAAUACGUAGGGGGCAAGCGUUAUCCGGAUUUACUGGGUGUAAAGGGGGCGCAGACGGCAGCGCAAGCCAGGAGUGAAAGCCCGGGGCCCAACCCCGGGACUGCUCUUGGAACUGCGCGGCUGGAGUGCAGGAGGGGCAGGCGGAAUUCCUGGUGUAGCGGUGAAAUGCGUAGAUAUCAGGAGGAACACCGGUGGCGAAGGCGGCCUGCUGGACUGCGACUGACGUUGAGGCCCGAAAGCGUGGGGAGCAAACAGGAUUAGAUACCCCGGUA
rnacentral:rRNA from 1 species